rnacentral:rRNA from 1 species
AUUGAACGCUGGCGGCAUGCUUUACACAUGCAAGUCGAACGGUAACAGGCCUUCGGGUGCUGACGAGUGGCGAACGGGUGAGUAAUGCAUCGGAACGUACCCAGAGGUGGGGGAUAACGCAGCGAAAGCUGUGCUAAUACCGCAUGUGAUCUGAGGAUGAAAGCGGGGGACCGCGCAGCAAUGUUUGGCCUCGCGCCUUUGGAGCGGCCGAUGUCGGAUUAGCUAGUUGGUGGGGUAAAGGCCUACCAAGGCGACGAUCCGUAGCUGGUCUGAGAGGACGACCAGCCACACUGGGACUGAGACACGGCCCAGACUCCUACGGGUGGCAGCAAUGGGGAAUUUUGGACAAUGGGCGCAAGCCUGAUCCAGCAAUGCCGCGUGCGGGAAGAAGGCCUUCGGGUUGUAAACCGCUUUUGGCAGGAACGAAACGGUGUCCGCUAAUACCGGGCGCUAAUGACGGUACCUGCAGAAUAAGCACCGGCUAACUACGUG